CCUACGGGAGGCAGCAGUGGGGAAUAUUGGGUAAUGGGCGCAAGCCUGACCCAGCAACGCCGCGUGAAGGAAGAAGGCUUUCGGGUUGUAAACUUCUUUUCUCAGGGACGAAGCAAGUGACGGUACCUGAGGAAUAAGCCACGGCUAACUACGUGCCAGCAGCCGCGGGAAUACGUAGGUGGCAAGCGUUAUCCGGAUUUACUGGGUGUAAAGGGCGUGUAGGCGGGAAAGCAAGUCAGAUGUGAAAACCAUGGGCUCAACCUGUGGCCUGCAUUUGAAACUGUUUUUCUUGAGUACUGGAGAGGCAGACGGAAUUCCUAGUGUAGCGGUGAAAUGCGUAGAUAUUAGGAGGAACACCAGUGGCGAAGGCGGUCUGCUGGACAGCAACUGACGCUGAGGCGCGAAAGCGUGGGGAGCAAACAGGAUUAGAUACCCGAGUAGUC
rnacentral:rRNA from 1 species